AACAAACGCUGGCGGCGUGCCUAAUACAUGCAAGUCGAACGAGGAAAGCUUUCGGGUGAGUACUAGUGGCGCACGGGUGAGGAAUAUAUGGGUAAUCUGCCCUCGAGUUGGGGAUAACCAGUCGAAAGACUGGCUAAUACCGAAUAAGACCACAGGAUCUGCGGAUCUAGGGGUUAAAGGUUUUUCGCUUGAGGAUGAGCCCAUACGGGAUUAGCUAGUUGGCGAGGUAAUGGCUCACCAAGGCUACGAUCCCCAACUGGUCUUAGAGGAUGAUCAGUCACACUGGAACUGAGACACGGUCCAGACUCCUACGGGAGGCAGCAGUAGGGAAUAUUGCACAAUGGGGGAAACCCUGAUGCAGCGACGCCGCGUGAGUGAUGAAGGCCUUCGGGUCGUAAAGCUCUGUCGUAUGGGACUAACACAAUGAAGGUACCAUGCAAGAAAGGAUCGGCUAACUUCGUGCCAGCCGCCGCAGUAA
rnacentral:rRNA from 1 species